AGCAGCCGCGGUAAUUCCAGCUCCAAUAGCGUAUAUUAAAGUUGUUGCAGUUAAAAAGCUCGUAGUUGAAUUUCGGGAUCAAUACGUCGGUCGUGCCUCGGUACGUACUGGCGUCAUUGAUUUCUCCCUUCUGAAGAACCGUGAUGCCAUUAACUUGGUGUCAUGGGAAAUCAGGACUGUUACUUUGAAAAAAUUAGAGUGUUUAAAGCAGGCUCACGCUUGAAUACAUUAGCAUAGAAUAAUGAAAUAGGACGUUCGACCCUAUUUUGUUGGUUUUCUAGGAUCAACGUAAUGAUUAAUAGGGAUAGCUGGGGGCAUUAGUAUUCAAUUGUCAGAGGUGAAAUUCUUGGAUUUAUUGAAGACUAACUACUGCGAAAGCAUUUGCCAAGGAUGUUUUCAUUAAUCAAGAACGAAAGUUAGGGGAUCGAAGACGAUCAGAUACCGUCGUAG
rnacentral:rRNA from 1 species